UCAGAAGAGAAAGCCCCUACAUCCAUCCUCAGGGAGCUCCCAGUCUGAUGGGGAAGUUGCUGACUCAGCCCUAUGUGGCUUAGCUUGAUGUUGCAAUGAGGCAGAUGCCAAAGGAAGGAGAGUUGCCAAGGAUUUCACUGCAGCCGUUGGUACAGGAGGUAAAAAGAAGAAAGACAGGCCAAUUCUACCCACUGAUGGGGAAACGGGCAAGAGGGAAGUCACUGAUCCAGUCAGUGGAGAACAAAGGGCACCAAGAAGACAUGUUUAUAGGCCUCAUGGGGAGAUCAACUAACCAAGGUGGGUGACAUUCCCCAGGUGGUCGGUCCCCAGUGCAGCUCAAUAAAAAAGCCCCAAAGUUGUCUCAGCCCAAGGAAAUGGCACCCCUUGACAAGGUGGGUCACCUACCCCUCCAAGUCAGGUAAGUAAAUCCCAACAAAUCCAGGAUGCUGAGCAACGUCCGAUGGCUCAGAAACGUGCUACCUCCGUUUCUUUAUCUGUAAAAUAGGGAUAAUAGCUGCCUCCCAGGGUUGUUGUGAGGACCAAAUAAUAUAAUUGUAAAGUGCUUAGCACAGAGCCCAGCACAUAUAAAGCCUUAUGUCAAUGUUAGAUUAUUGUUAUUAUCAUUAUUAUUCCUAGGACAAGGAGCUCCCACUCAAGCUCUGACCCUAUUUCCCUCAGUAAGAUUCCCCUUGGACCUUUUCUAAUGGCAAAUGAGGUAUGGGAGUGAGUGGGUGAGAGGAAAGAAUAAGUGGGCCUAGCAGUAGCACCUGGAAUAUGGCCUGCUAUGAAACUGACUUCUUUGCCCUCCUAAUCCCAAUUCUAACAUCAGCUCACCAGUCUCUUUUGAAGAGAAUUUCAUACCUAUGGAGAGAGAUAGUUGAGAGACAAUUGGAAAUGGGGGACUCAUAAUAUCUGGUUUUGAAUCCCAAAUCUGUCACUCACUAGCUGUGUGAGAAAAUCACUUCAUUUCUUUGAGACUCAAGUUGAACUCAUCUGUAACACAGGGGUAAUACAAUCUAACCUGAGAGGCAUCAUGCUGGAAUGGAGAGAGAGCUAGCUUCUCCAUCAGGAAGACCUAGUUCAAACCCUACUUAUAACACGUAAUAGCUGUGUAACCACAGACAUGUUAUUUAACCUCUUAGUUGCCAUUGGCAAUUAACUUAAAAGCGUAAGUUACAGCUAAGUCUCUGCAAUUUAAAACUUGAAUACCUAUCCUGUCCACCUCACAGGGCUGUUUCAAAAACCAAAUCAUGUAAAAGUACAUAAAGGGGCCUUGUAAAUUCUAAAGCAACACCACAUCAGGAGUUUUAUUGAUAUUUGAAAAAAGAAUCCUCAAGGUGUCCAAAAGAGUCUCUGCUGUUGCCUGCUUCAGGUCCUGAAAUUUCACCAUUAGAGAUUCAUUCUUUUGGCUCUAGGGUUUUCCAUGCAGGUAUUGCUGGCAGGGGGCAUCACCUUCCAAGGAUUUGGGUUAGCACCUAAGCAAACUGGGCUGACAUAUUGAACAUAGAAUUAGGAAGACUCUGGUUUGAAUCCUGUUCUGGGAAAUGUGUUAAAUGUAUGACCCUGGGCAAGUCCCUCAAUAUUUCUAAGCCUCAGUUUUCUCAUCUAUAAAAUGGGAAUAAUCACAUCUGCCCUUCAAGGGUUGUUGUGAAGCUCAAAUGAGAUAACGGAUAUACCAAGCUGUGUGAAUUUUAUAGUAUAAUAUAAAUGUGAGCUACGAUAAUUAUUGUGAUUGUGGUUAAAGUUAAGUGUCUGCUUAAGAACCAUGAGAUGCAAAGAGUAGGGAGGUGAAGAAGAGAUGGAAGGGCUCUCAAAGACGAACUUCACUGACCUCACUAGUCUACCCGGAAGUGGACUUCACAGAGAAACUUAACUCCAAAGAUAUUAAUUCAAAUCGGGCUUCUCCCCACCACACUACACUCAUCACGCUCCCAGAACGUCUUUCUCUAGCCUCUGUUCUGGGUGCUGAGGGUGAUAAGUGCAUUCCACUAACGACCUAAGGCAAACAUCUUUAGGAAGGUAAAUCUAUUGGGAGAAUGAAAUACCCUAACACUUUGUACUUAGAGAGGAAUCAUCAAAUGUUAUAACUGGGAUCAUGUAGUCCAAGUCCCCUCUGUAAGUGCUCCAGGCCUUCCUUUCAAAUGUCAUAGAAGGCAUCCCAAAACUAGAGGGAAGGGAAUUGUGGGAUUAACUAGUGUUUUGGUAUCCUCUAGGGCCACUGUUUCCUUUCUAUUCUAUUCGUUCUUAUAACUGAGUUGAGUACAGAGUUUUACCAGAGUCCUUGCCUGACAGAAGCUUGAAAUUUCUCAGAAGAUGUGGACAAAUAAAAAACACCACAUAUGCCUACAGGUUCAAUAACCAGGAGAUGACAAGAGCCCUGGACUAAGGAGGGAGGAGACCUACUCUUGCCACUUUCUUCUUUGUGACCUUGGACAAGACACUCCACUUCCCUAACUCCCAUAUUCCUCAUCUGUAAAAUGGGGGAAUGGAUCAAGAUCCUCUCAAGUCUUCUCUGCCUCUGAAAUUCUGUCAUUCCAGAAUCUUAAUCUUUUUCAAUUUUUUUUUUCAU